GAGUUUGAUCAUGGCUCAGGACGAACGCUGGCGGCGCGCUUAACACAUGCAAGUCGAACGGAGCCAUGCCUUCGGGUGUGGUCGAGUGGCGAACGGGUGCGUAACACGUGAGUGACCUGCCCUUGUGCGGGGGAUAACUCGGGGAAACCCGAGCUAAUACCGCAUGAACUCCUGAGGCUGAUGGUUUUGGGAGGAAAGGUGCUUUCGGGCACCGCGCAGGGAGGGGCUCGCGGGGUAUCAGGUAGUUGGUGAGGUAACGGCUCACCAAGCCGAUGACGCCUAGGGGGUCUGAGAGGAUGGCCCCCCACAUUGGGACUGAGAUACGGCCCAGACUCCUACGGGAGGCAGCAGUGGGGAAUCUUGCGCAAUGGCCGAAAGGCUGACGCAGCGACGCCGCGUGCGGGAGGAAGCUCUUCGGGGUGUAAACCGCUGUCAGGGGGGACGAAGGUCCAGGGGAGGUAAUGCCCUUGGAUGACGGACCCCCAG
rnacentral:rRNA from 1 species